rnacentral:rRNA from 1 species
CCAGCAGCAUACCACCCUGCAUCCCACUGCUGGCUUGCUUCUGAAGCUAAGCAGGGUUGGUCCUGGUCAGUCCCUGGAUGGGAGACCAGAUCCCAAUGCCCCAGGGCAGUGAUUGGG